rnacentral:rRNA from 1 species
GACGAACGCUGGCGGCGUGCUUAACACAUGCAAGUCGAACGGAAAGGCCCUGCUUUUGUGGGGUGCCCGAGUGGCGAACGGGUGAGUAACACGUGAGUAACCUGCCCUUGACUUUGGGAUAACUUCAGGAAACUGGGGCUAAUACCGGACCGGAGCCCCCGCUGCAUGGUGGGGGGUGGAAAGUUUCGGCGGUCGGGGAUGGACUGGCGGCUUAUCAGCUUGUUGGUGGGGUAGUGGCUUACCAAGGCUUUGACGGGUAGCCGGCCUGAGAGGGUGACCGGCCACAUUGGGACUGAGAGACGGCCCAGACUGCUACGGGAGGCAGCAGUGGGGAAUAUUGCACAAUGGGCGGAAGCCUGAUGCAGCAACGCCGCGUGCGGGAUGACGGCCUUCGGGUUGUAAACCGCUUUCGCCUGUGACGAAGCGGGAGUGACGGUAAUGGGUAAAGAAGCACCGGCUAACUACGUG